UACGUAGGGGGCGAGCGUUGUCCGGAAUCAUUGGGCGUAAAGCGCGUGUAGGCGGCCCGGUAAGUCCGCUGUGAAAGUCCAGGGCUCAACCCUGGGAUGCCGGUGGAUACUGUCGGGCUAGAGUCCGGAAGAGGAGUGUGGAAUUCCUGGUGUAGCGGUGAAAUGCGCAGAUAUCAGGAGGAACACCAAUGGCGAAGGCAGCACUCUGGGACGGUACUGACGCUGAGACGCGAAAGCGUGGGGAGCGAACAGG
rnacentral:rRNA from 1 species